UGAUCCUGGCUCAGAUUGAACGCUGGCGGCAGGCCUAACACAUGCAAGUCGAACGGUAACAGGAUAGCUUGCUAUCGCUGACGAGUGGCGGACGGGUGAGUAAUACUUAGGGAUCUGCCUCUGUGUGGGGGAUAACUAUUGGAAACGAUAGCUAAUACCGCAUAAUGUCUACGGACCAAAGCGGGCUUCGGCUCGUGCGCAGAGAGGAACCUAAGCGAGAUUAGCUAGUUGGUGAGGUAAAGGCUCACCAAGGCGACGAUCUCUAGCUGUUCUGAGAGGAAGAUCAGCCACACUGGAACUGAGACACGGUCCAGACUCCUACGGGAGGCAGCAGUGGGGAAUAUUGCACAAUGGGGGAAACCCUGAUGCAGCCAUGCCGCGUGUGUGAAGAAGGCCUUCGGGUUGUAAAGCACUUUCAGUUGUGAGGAGAGUUUAGUAGUUAAUACCUGCUAGAUGUGACGUUAGCAACAGAAGAAGCACCGGCUAACUCCGUGCCAGCAGCCGCGGUAAUACGGAGGGUGCGAGCGUUAAUCGGAAUUACUGGGCGUAAAGCGCACGCAGGCGGUCUGUUAAGCUAGAUGUGAAAGCCCCGCGCUCAACGUGGGAGGGUCAUUUAGAACUGGCAGACUAGAGUCUUGGAGAGGGGAGUGGAAUUCCAGGUGUAGCGGUGAAAUGCGUAGAGAUCUGGAGGAACAUCAAUGGCGAAGGCAACUCCCUGGCCAAAGACUGACGCUCAUGUGCGAAAGUGUGGGUAGCGAACAGGAUUAGAUACCCUGGUAGU
rnacentral:rRNA from 1 species